AGAUACAGUGGGAUCUCUCAUAGAACCAUCUAGAAGCCACUGGAAUGCUCUGGGGAGGUUCCAGUCUGCUCUCUGCUUCUGAGGCCCCCAGGCUCCUGGUUUUCAAGGUUCCGAGCAGAAAGGGCAGAGCAGAGGGGACGCAGGCGUCAAGGCUCUAGCUGAAAGGAGGCCGUGUUUCCCGAAGGCAGGCUCGCAGGUUACCGCGGCCUUGGUGAACUGCCAGCUGUCAAGGAGCGUUGAUGGCGACCGUUCCUGCCAGUGCGGACGCUGCUUUUAUGGAGGAGAGGAUUUCUGGAGGUCUGUCCUUGCCAUCACAGUGACGCCUACGCUGUUUCCACAACAAACCCCCGAAACCAGCCUGCCAGCUCAUCAGCCGGAGUUCUCUGUGCCGUGGAAUGGCUGUGUCAUGUGCUGUUGUGAAACCACUCGGGAGGAUGAACCGUGUCUCCUGAGACUCGAGUGAGGAGCCAUUCACUUGAUGCUUCUGGCCAAUUCCCAGCUCUGCUUCCGGCGACGCGGGGUUAACCCCGAGAUGGUUGCCAGGGUUCCCAGAGCCGCUGCCGCCGGCCAGCCACUUGGAACCUUCCGGACCCCGUGAAAGGUGAGGGGCGUGUCCAGCAGGCGCAGCCCGUCUCGCGGAGCCUUGCAGGACGUCUGCUGUCCUGUCCCCAGCCCCCACGUGUCUGCUCCAGAAUCUGUAG
ensembl:lncRNA